AUGCUAAAAGGAAAGCUUAGAUGGGAUCUGUGGUCAGGGACAAUUUCUACUUCUGAAGAUGAAAUUCCUCCUGUACUUUCUUCAUCAGUCUCUUCUAAAGUUUCCAUUCUCAGGGUUCUGCUAAUUCAAACUCUUCUUGUCAGCAGAAUUCAGUAUACAAUCCAAAAAGAAGAGAACAAGAUUCCAUAUAAUGCGCUGUUCCGAGGAAAUGUUAACAGAAGGAGUGUCACUCUAUCACCAAGCUGGAGUGCAAUGGCAUGA
rnacentral:lncRNA from 1 species